CCUACGGGGGGCUGCAGUGAGGAAUAUUGGUCAAUGGGCUUACGCCUGAACCAGCCAAGUCGCGUGAGGGAAGACUGCCCUAUGGGUUGUAAACCUCUUUUGUCAGGGAGCAACGCCGGCUACGUGUAGCCGGACUGAGAGUACCUGAAGAAAAAGCAUCGGCUAACUCCGUGCCAGCAGCCGCGGUAAUACGUAGGUGGCAAGCGUUGUCCGGAUUUACUGGGUGUAAAGGGCGUGCAGCCGGAGAGACAAGUCAGAUGUGAAAUCCGCAGGCUCAACCUGCGAACUGCAUUUGAAACUGUUUCCCUUGAGUAUCGGAGAGGUCAUCGGAAUUCCUAGUGUAGCGGUGAAAUGCGUAGAUAUUAGGAAGAACACCAGUGGCGAAGGCGGAUGACUGGACGACAACUGACGGUGAGGCGCGAAAGCGUGGGGAGCAAACAGGAUUAGAUACCCUAGUAGUC
rnacentral:rRNA from 1 species